UACGGAAGGCAGCAGUGGGGAAUAUUGCACAAUGGGCGCAAGCCUGAUGCAGCCAUGCCGCGUGUAUGAAGAAGGCCUUCGGGUUGUAAAGUACUUUCAGUCGUGAGGAAGGUGUUAAGGUUAAUAACCUUAGCAAUUGACGUUAGCGACAGAAGAAGCACCGGCUAACUCCGUGCCAGCAGCCGCGGUAAUACGGAGGGUGCGAGCGUUAAUCGGAAUUACUGGGCGUAAAGGGCACGCAGGCGGUUAAUUAAGUUGGAUGUGAAAUCCCCGGGCUUAACCUGGGAAUGGCAUUCAAGACUGGUUAGCUAGAGUCUUGUAGAGGGGGUAGGAAUUCCAUGUGUAGCGGUGAAAUGCGUAGAGAUGUGGAGGAAUACCGGUGGCGAAGGCGGCCCCUGGACAAAGACUGACGCUCAUGUGCGAAAGCGUGGGGAGCAAACAGGAUUAGAUA
rnacentral:rRNA from 1 species